rnacentral:hammerhead_ribozyme from 1 species
CACUGACGAGUCCCAUACUAGGACGAAACGGCCGUCCG